rnacentral:misc_RNA from 1 species
GCCAAUAAGACUGGAACAGAAUUGCACACUUGAAAAUGAUUGAAUCCAGAAGACAGGCAAAUGGAAAUGACGUACAAUAGUUUUUGUUUCGCUCGUUUUGCGCUGGACGAGCAUAAAAACAAAAAAAAAAGGAAAGAAUGAAAAUGGGUUGUACUGAUGGGGUCAUACAACGGCAGACAGAUUGGGUAUACGCGGACACGAGUACUAUAUACCACGACGACCACCACCAACGGGAAUGCGGCCAUGUUGAUGCCUAAAAUUAGCCGGACGACGGCUGAUUGGCACGGACCAGAAGAACCGACGGAAUAGAACAAAAACAUACACUGUACACUGCGCUAUACUCCCCGCGCCCGUGUGUGUGUGUGUGUGUGUACGUACUAUACAGUCGUGGCCCUAUCGAAAAUUCAAGCACAUCAAAAUGUCAAGUGCUUUCCUUUUUUCCUGUUGUUGACCUCGAUCCAACAACGUUACGUACACCAUCGGCAACAACAUUCCCGAGUGGCACGGAUAGUUGGGGGGCUAAGAUUCUUUUUCUUUCGAUUUUCGGGUAUGACCUCAUCAGCGGAAUUUCAUCAUUACAAAAAAAACGCAGUGUGGAGUAGGAGUCAUUCGUACGUGGAGGUAGUGUUUUUCUUAGAAAACAGAAUCCAAGCAGAAAAAAAAAAAAAGUUUGAAGAGUUUUGAAAACUCGAAAAAAAUAAAAGUUGCGCAAUGGUACGGUGGCGCAUUGAAAUCCGGUGGCCGGCCAGCCGACGCCGCUCCUCCCUUCCGUUUUCUCUCUCCCCUCUCUGCCUUUGUAUGUGGUGUGUGUACGUCGUGGGGGGAAGAAGGUUAGGAGAAGGUGGGGGGGAUAUGGAGGUUGGGAACUUACACACGCAGACACACACACACACGGGAGUGAAAAGGAGGAAAAAGAAUCGGAACAGUCCGGAAAGCGGAUCAGUCGACGUGCUUACGUCUUUGACGUUGCAGCCCUUCGUUUUUUUGUGUGUACAUGUGCGUUGUUGUAUUGUAGUAGUGUGUGAAAGAGCACGGUCCCGGAUGUUACAUGGUGUGUAUAUGUGUUGUGUGUGUGUGUCGGUGCGUGUGAGUGUGACUGGACAUUUGAUUCGCCAUCCGUCGGGCCGAUUGAAUUAAAAAAAAAAAAAAAAACUAAGAAAAACUAAGACAAAUGGACGGCUAAAUUAUUUAUCGAGAAAAGCCGAUCCAUCGGAUUUGCUUUGGUUUCGGGUUACUCUAAACCGAAAGAAUUUGUGGUGUUGAAGAAAAGAAAGAAUUGCGAAUUGCUUUUCGUUUUCCAUCCCGUGUCGUCUCCAUCCGUCCGCACAGUUUCCGCUCCGAGUUUAUUUGUUCGUUUUUCCCUUUUGUUUUUGUUUUUUUGUUUGUUAGUUUUGAGGGGGGACCCAAGUGAAGGAGCUACACCAAAGGGGGGUUGUGUUUUCCUUGCCGUCUCCACACGGUUCACUACUUGAGAAGAAAAAAGAAAAAGAAUAAAAAAGGAAAAUCUGCUCAAGAAUUUCCAGGGAACCUGGAGCGCACACACACAGACAACAUCCAUUCGAUAACGACCGCAAUGUCAUAAGGAACCGCUGCGCCAGUGUGCCUCUCUCUCAUACACACACACACACACACACAUCUAAGGUGUGUUUUUAUCUGUUGGUCUUUGGUGUGUCUGUGUGUGCCUGUGUGUGUGUGUGUGUGCGUGCGUGCCGUGCCGUGAAGAAGCUGCCCGAGACUCUUGUUUGCUAGUUCUCUCCCGUUCUCUCUGAACCUCCUUGUGUGGUUACGGACGCGUGUUCCGGUCGGAAUGAAGGAAAUAAAGAAGGAAUAGAUCAACGAUUAAAAGGGGGGGAAAAAAAAAGAGGAAAGAUAGACAGGAAAGAUAAGAAGAAGUUGGCCAAAAGUUUUGUCUUCGAUGAACGACAGUCGAUGUGAUGGAUCGUCGGGUUGGAGAUGAAGUAGACGAAGGGGUAGGGCGAGGCGAGCUAGACAAAUCGCCCGUCAUCACGACCAAGAAUCGGCCAUCAUCACCGACAUCAUUAUUGCCACCGCUGCAGAGGCGGCCAUCGACACCAACGACGCCGAUCGCAUGCCCGGCUCACGAUCCUCUCGCCGCCUGUCCUGUCGUCGACGACAUGGUCCACCAGUCGACGACGGACAAUCAAGUGGAACAUCAACAACAGCAAAGAGAAGCGACGAGGACGCCCUUACCGUCGACACCCAGCGUCUUAGUCGAGUGCAGUCCCACAACUCCUCCUCCUGCCGACGAAGACGAUGUCGUCUACUACUCCGGCUAUCACUCGGAGGAGGUCGAUGAAGAUUUGGAGGAUUUAGAAGAAGAACAAGAAGAGGAUGACGAUGAUGAAGUGGUAGAAGAAGAAGAAGAAGAAGAAGAAGAAGAAGAAGACGAAGAAGAAGAAGAAGACCAAGUCGAUGGUCACGAUGAAGAGGAAGAUGAUGAUGGUUUACCGUACCCGGGUUUCAUACCCGUCACGCUCGGCUUCAUGACUCAAUACAGCCAGCCAAGAAACCUAUGUUUACGGAUGAUCACCAAUCCGUGGUUCGAGAGGAUCAGCAUGGCCGUCAUCUUUUUCAACUGCGUCACGUUGGGCAUGUACCAGCCCUGUAUCGACCAGGUCUGCAACACCAAUCGAUGCCGCAUCCUCCAGAUGCUGGAUGAUUUCAUAUUUGCCUUCUUCGCCCUGGAGAUGUCCAUCAAAAUGAUCGCCAUGGGUGUUUACGGUAAAGGAACUUACCUGGCCGAAACGUGGAACAGGCUCGAUUGUUUUAUCGUCAUCGCCGGAGCGGUGGAAUAUUGCUUGGAUAUGGAGAACAUGAAUUUAUCCGCCAUCCGGACCAUCCGAGUUUUGCGGCCACUAAGAGCUAUCAACCGAAUACCCAGCAUGAGGAUAUUGGUGAUGCUGUUACUGGAUACAUUACCCAUGCUUGGCAAUGUUCUGUUGCUCUGCUUUUUCGUCUUUUUCAUCUUCGGCAUCGUCGGUGUCCAGCUCUGGGCUGGUAUUCUUCGUCAGAGGUGCUACCUUGAUCUACCGAAGGGCAUUGUCCCACCAGCCACAUUCACGACCAUCGACCGAACUCUGCCCAUCUUUUACAAACCCAAGACCCACUACAGGCCUCUGUCCAGCUAUUAUAAAGUGCAAGAGACGGAGAAGGACUACAUUUGUUCCCUGGCCAAAGACAGUGGGAUGCAUACAUGCGCCUCGCUGCCUCACACCAAAUCUGACGGGCGAGUGUGCAAUGACAGCGUCGUGCCUGGCAUACCCGUUGGAAUGGACGGUCUCUCAGUCAACGGCUCUUGUAUCAAUUGGAAUCAAUACUACACCGAUUGUAGAGCUGGUGAAAAGAAUCCUUUCCAGGGAGCCAUAUCCUUUGAUAACAUCGGUUUGGCUUGGGUUGCCAUCUUUCUAGUCAUUAGUCUUGAAGGAUGGACCGACAUCAUGUACUACGUCCAGGAUGCCCACUCUUUCUGGGACUGGGUUUACUUUGUCCUCCUUAUUGUGAUCGGCUCGUUCUUCAUGAUCAACCUGUGCCUGGUGGUAAUAGCCACGCAGUUCUCCGAGACGAAGAAGCGGGAAAUGGAGCGGAUGCGUCUGGAACGGGCGCGCUACCAAUCGACGUCCACAUUGGCCAGCACGUCGGCCAGCGAGUCAACUUCAUGCUACCGGCAGAUCAUCAAGUACAUUGCACAUUUGUGGCGGAGGAGCAAGCGACGUAUACUCAGACGAUACAGAGCCUACCGCAGCCGGAAGAAGCUGCAGCAACAGCAACAACAGCUGGAUCACCCACAAUACGGCAAACAACAAUCAGCGACGCAUUCGCUCAGUUUAAGGACGCGGAGGAAACAGCAACGGCGCAGGAAGAGGAGGAGGAGGCGGAGCAGGCAUCCGCAUCCUGAAUGCCCUAAACAUGGCGCCCAACAACAAGAGCAACAACAACAACAUCAACAUCAAUUGCAGAGAAAUAGCCAAUGUUCUAGCAGCUAUCGAGUACCGUCCGUAAGUUCACAGGUAGCGUUGAGAAUCAAUGAUGGGCCGGCUUCGCCUCUCGAUUCGCCCGUCCCCAUACUCUCAAAUGCUCGGCGCGCCAGCGUUGCCGUCUCCAUCGACCAUCACCAUCAGCGAUCCUCUCCAUUCCUCUCGCCCAGAGGAUCUUUGGCAAUGGCCGAUGAUUCGUCAGAUUCGUCGCAGUUGUUGACGCCAAGGACGCCUAGGCGUCGCCGAAGUAGUGUUAUGUUUAGUGACGUUGUCGUCGCUCACGGCAUGAGUAACAGUGUGGCCGAUGUCAAUGUCUGCUGGAGCGAGAAGAUCACCCAGACGGGCGGUUUCACUACGGAAUCGGUUGCAUCCGCCGGAAGUGAAUCUCGUCAGCCACAUCAUCAGACAUCUGGUUCGUCUAAUCCGUCGUCACCGCUGUCGUUCAAUCGCAAAUCGUCAUUGAGGCAACGAGUCACAUCCAACCAGACGACCGACGAACUACGGCCCAGUUGUUCAGCCCCGGGUCCAGGAUCCGGUACGACAUCUGGUAGCGUUGCAGCGACGUCCACCUUGACACAAGUCCCAAAUGGAGCUGGUCUAACCUGUCAAGAAUUGCUGGCUCUUAGUGGAGCCCUUGGGGCAGCGCUGCCCACUCCUUUAGCGUUGCCCAACUAUCCGUCGGAUGAGCCGAAAACUGCGGUAAUGGUUGUUGCUCCGGUCGCGGCCAAACAUAGCAACAACCAUAAAUGCAAUAACCAGUUAUUGGCACCGCCGGGCAUGAUGCCCAUCUUACCAACUCUGGCCAUGUCUCUUUGGCCGGAACCGUUUCAAGACCCUGGACGUAGCGGCGACGAUCAUUGGACAACGAUCCCGUGCGUGAACAACAGGAAGCCGGCAGAGACGGCAGAGACGGCAGUUGACGUGGAGACGGACAAUGAAGACGAUAGGAAUUGCAUUUGCUGCUCAUCGGACGACGAGGAAUAUUCAGCGUCCGAUGAAGAGGCCGGUUCGGAAGAUCAAAACGAAGACUAUUACGAAGAAGAUGAAGAACAACGAGGAGCAUCCGUCGAAGUGUUUGAGCAUCGUCGUUCGCCCUUGUCUCGCUAUUGGUCGCUCGUCAAGGAAUAUUAUAAAACGUUCCAGCGGAGUGUCAAAGCCCUCGUCGAGCACAAGUACUUCCAGCAGGGACUUUUGGGAGCCAUUCUCAUCAAUACGCUCAGCAUGGGCAUCGAAUAUCACAACCAGCCAGAAGAACUGACGCUGACAGUCGAAUUUAGCAACAUCGUUUUCUCAGCCAUUUUCGCCAUUGAGAUGCUGCUCAAAGUGAUCGCCGAAGGUCCGCUCAACUACAUCGGCAACGGUUUCAACGUCUUUGACGGUGUUAUCGUCAUUCUCAGUUUGGUGGAAGUGUUUCAGAGCUUGAAUCGCUUCGAAGGGGAUGACGGUGGCAGUUCGGGCCUUUCGGUUUUGAGGACGUUUCGUCUUUUGCGCAUCUUGAAAUUAGUCCGUUUCAUGCCAAACUUGCGUCGUCAAUUGAUCGUCAUGUUGCGCACAAUGGACAAUGUGGCCGUCUUCUUCGCCUUGCUCCUGCUCUUCAUUUUCAUAUUCAGCAUUUUGGGCAUGAAUUUGUUCGGCUGCAAAUUUUGUCGCAAAACCAGCGACCAGUCGACGAGUUGCGACCGUAAAAACUUCGACUCCCUCCUGUGGGCCAUAGUGACCGUGUUUCAGAUUUUGACCCAAGAAGAUUGGAAUGUUGUUCUAUUCAAUGGCAUGGAGAAGACAAGCCAUUGGGCAGCGCUUUAUUUCGUGGCGCUCAUGACAUUUGGCAACUAUGUCCUGUUCAAUCUCCUAGUCGCCAUUCUCGUCGAAGGCUUCUCCGCUGAGAGAACGGAGCGACUGGAACGUGAACAGCGUGAGCAGGCCAGACAGGAACGCCAUGCAGCAAGAGCUCUUGCCACGGCUGCGGCUUUGUCAAUCCAAGAUGAGGCAACAUCGGGUGGCUCUUGUCACGGGGAUCAGGAGACGGGUCCACCGGCACCUGAAAAUUGUUCGCCCGAUUCGCCGUCGUCUGCCGACGGUGUUGGGUGUCAUCAACAAGAGCUGCAGCACGACAACUAUUUCUCGAGAUCUUCGGUGACGGAGGAGAGUUGCAGUCCUGUCGGCUACUGUGCCAAUGACAUCGCGGUCGAAGACGUAUUGGUCUCCGUCGUCGAUAGCGCCCAGCUGGCCGACUUACUACUCGAGGAGGAACGCAAACAAGCCAAACUGGCACUAUUGGAGUCUCAACAACAGCGCCGACUCAAGGAGAAUUCGUACAAUGCCAUUCAGGAGCAACAGCGCCGUGAAUCUUUAUACAGUAAGAGUCAUCACGAUUGCGCUAACAAUCCCAACCAUUACGAUCCAAAGUCAAACAUCGAACGAGAAACGAUCCUGUUCUGUCAGCCGCAGUCAUCUGUUGUUCCUCGAUCGGAAUUUCAAACGCGGACGACAAAUGGAUCGGAUAGGAUGGAAACGCAUCCGAGCGCAACUGCGUCGCAGCAUUUAUUGCUUCCGCCAACGACAGCUCCGAUCAUCACCCACACAGCCGCCACUCCGCAAGGAUCUCCAAAUGCCACGCUCGAUUCCAUUUGCAGUCACAGGGAAAGCGCGCCGUGCGUCAGACUAUCUCCGUUGAAGUCGGUCAAGUUAGUAGGCGUGUCUCCGCCACGUCGUACUUCGGUAGAAGGUUCUCCUUUACACGGAGAUACUGGUAUCAAUUUGGGACUCGAGACGUUGGGUUCGCCGUCUUUACUGCGAACGCCGAGCAACAGAUCCUGCGCUAGCUCCAGAUCGUCUAGACGAUCGAGUUUGAAUCCCAUCAUGCCCAGUCGAGGUAUUCUCAGCAGAAAGAGCAGCCUGGCUGCCCCCUCAGGGGGAGGAAUGGUAUCAUCGCCGGAAGAGUCAGCCGAUACCAAUUCAUUGUUGCCUUUAUCGUCCUCGGAGAUGCUGGGCGGCGGAAGUGGCGUCCUUCGCCAGGGCAGCAAGAAAUUGUGGAGGCGGCUGUCAUCGCGGGAUACGGCUGGCAUCCCCACUAAUGGAUCGCAUGCCGAUCUGGAAGCUGAGCUGGAAGAGGACCACGCAUCCAACGCGGGCAAUUACAGCCUUCUAAACAACCUGAACAACCAACGACAACCGAGUUGCAGUAAUCAUGAUCGACUUGCCUGUAAUGGCAGCGCCCAACACGAUGGAAUUCACCAGCCAUUCACGCGGAAACCGAUUCUGUCUCAUCAGAAUUCUUUCGGCAGUCCGACAACAUUGAGUCCGCAGAAUUCUAUCCGCAGUAACGGCUCGUCGCCGCGGAGUCCAUCACCCGGAUUCAAUAACCUGGCGCCGAAUAACAACAACAACGGCAGUAAUUUGAAUUUCUCCAUCGGAGAAGGGCAAACGGGGGCCAACAGCACGACAACCAAAACAGAGGAGGAAGUGGUAGUGAAGAAACGGCUAAUUGUUCGCCUUUAUGAACGAUUCCCUCAACUCAAGAAGCGGGAAGACUACGCCCUCUUUAUUCUGUCGCCGGAAAAUUCCAUUCGGCGGUCAUGUAGUACGUUGGUGAGAAAGAGUUGGUUCGACCAUACAAUCCUGUUUUUCAUCGGAUUGAAUUGCGUCACGUUGGCCAUGGAACGGCCGCUCAUUCCACCCGAUUCGUUCGAGCGUGCCUUCCUCUCCGUGUCCAACUAUGUCUUCACUUUUGUCUUUGCCAUCGAAAUGAUUUUGAAAGUCAUGGCCGUCGGCAUGUUUUACGGCCCAAGUGCUUAUUUUGAUUCCGGAUGGAACAUCAUGGACGGUCUCCUCGUCAGCGUGUCCAUCGUUGAUAUUCUCAUGUCACUUUUGUCUAGCGGCAGUCCGCGCAUCUUUGGCAUACUCAGAGUCUUCCGGCUGCUGCGAUCCUUGAGGCCGUUGCGAGUCAUCAACCGAGCGCCCGGCUUGAAAUUGGUGGUGCAAACCUUACUAUCUUCUUUGAAACCCAUCGGAAACAUUGUGCUCAUUUGCUGCACUUUCUUCAUCAUCUUCGGAAUCCUCGGAGUCCAGUUAUUCAAAGGGAGUUUCUUCUACUGUGAGGGGCCCAACAUCCGUUCGGUCCGCAAUCGAACGGAUUGUUUGGCGGCGGAUCCUCGCAACAUGUGGGUCAAUCGCGCCUACAAUUUCGAUGACCUCGGACAGGCCCUAAUGGCCCUUUUCGUCCUUUCGUCCAAAGAUGGCUGGGUCAACAUUAUGUACACUGGGCUAGACGCCGUCGGUGUCGAUCAACAGCCGAUCGAGAAUUACAGCGAGUGGCGCUUAAUCUACUUCAUCUCGUUUCUGCUGUUGGUCGGUUUCUUCGUGCUCAACAUGUUCGUCGGUGUCGUCGUCGAGAAUUUCCAUCGUUGCCGUGAAGAACAGGAGAAGGAGGAGCGAGCUCGGCGGAUGGCGAAGCGGGCGCGCAAAAUGGAAAAAAAGCGCAGAAAGAUGCGACGGCCUCCCUACUACACCAACUAUUCACGUUCGCGGCUAGUCAUUCACAAUGUGGUGACGUCCAAGUACUUUGACUUGGCCAUCGCCGCUGUUAUUGGUCUUAACGUCGUCACAAUGGCCAUGGAAUUUUACCUUAUGCCACCUGAACUGGAAUCGGCGCUGCGCAUUUUCAAUUAUUUCUUCACGGCCGUCUUCAUCAUCGAAUCCGUCUGCAAAGUCGUGGCCUUGGGAGUGCGACGGUACAUCAAGGAUCGCUGGAAUCAGCUAGACGUCGCCAUCGUCAUCCUGUCUAUCGUUGGCAUCGUUUUAGAGGAGAUGAAAUCCGAUUUAAUUCCAAUUAAUCCCACAAUCAUCCGCGUUAUGCGCGUUUUGCGGAUAGCCAGAGUGUUGAAGUUGCUGAAAAUGGCCAAAGGAAUCCGCUCUUUGCUGGACACAGUGAUGCAAGCACUUCCGCAAGUCGGCAACUUGGGACUCUUGUUCUACUUGCUAUUCUUCAUUUUUGCUGCCCUUGGAGUCGAAUUGUUUGGUCGUUUGGAAUGUGAUGACGACCAUCCGUGCCAAGGUCUUGGCGAACACGCCCACUUUGCAAACUUUGGCAUCGCUUUCUUGACAUUGUUCCGCGUGGCGACGGGCGACAACUGGAACGGCAUCAUGAAGGACACACUGCGUGAAAACUGCGACCCGUCGGCCGAUUGUAUCAGGAACUGCUGCGUAUCCCGCAUUAUCGCGCCCAUCUUUUUCGUCAUUUUUGUCCUGAUGGCUCAGUUUGUCCUGGUCAACGUCGUCGUCGCUGUUCUCAUGAAACACCUAGAAGAAUCGCACAAACAGAUGGAAGACGAUAUGGAAAUGGAGAUGGAAUUGGCCGAAGAAUUUGCACCUCUGCCGACCGCUAACGACGAGACUGUUAAAGUAAACGACGAGCUUGAAGAGCUGGAACUGACUAACACCGCUGCAUCCUGAGUCUUUACCUUUAUCUCAUCGAACAAGUAGAAAACGUUUUUUUUUUCUUUCUUUCGUCCUAGAGAGGUUAAAUUUUAAGAAAUCAGUCCAUUUGUUUUUUUCUUGUGAAACCAGAUGGGUAAAAUAGUUUCGUCUCGUCGACGGAUGUUUAUAGAAAUUGUGCGUCGUAUUGAGAAAAAAAAACUUGUUCUGUAUUACCUGUUUCGAAAUGCAUCAGGUAUCGCACAGGAAUAGUUUUCACGUCCGUAUCUCCAUCUCGUCCUUCUUCGUUUCCCUCCUUUUUAGUUUCAAUCAAUUUUUUUCCAAAAGAUGAUUAUAAUCAUCGUUUUUUUUUCUUUCUAAAUAUGGACAAGCACUUGAGCGCCUUCUCUCAUUCCUCCUUGUGUAAUCAACAUGUUAUCCUGCACCCUGCAGCUCCUUCCAUCCAAGACCAGCAACUUCGCUCUUUGAUUUCUUCCCUUUGCAAUUUUUUUUUUCUCUUUUUUGACUCUCUCCCUUUACUUUUGUCAAAUUGAGAAACGAAAGAGUCUCACACACAUGAUCACCUGACCGUCUCACCAUAAUAUUGUGACUGUUUGCGUAGAGAGCAUUGUAUUUUCGACUUGUCGUCAACGGCGAAAUGAAAACCUCUUUGUUUUUUCAUUCGUUUUUCUCUCUAGUGUAAAGUGACCCUAACUAAACAUCGGAAACAUUUUUUUGUUAAAUAUAUAUAACUGUUUUCAUGAUAGUUUACUAUAUCGUUUAAAAAUGAAUCUUUCGGGAGGAUUGUAUUCGAGUUUAUAGCAAUACCUUAUGAUUAUUACUCACCUUACAUUUGAAGUGAACAGACGAAAAUGAUACACCCCCUACACCAGUGAGUACCGUAUACCCUCAAGCCCUCCCGAAUUCUGUACCAUUGUAUUCUCCUCUUACGUGAAUGCCCCUGUAAAAUGACGCUGUGUUACAACCGCAAAAUUUGUUUCCGUUUAAAUUUUUGUUUACUAUUUAGUUUUAAAGAAUUUUUACGUGGAAGAAAAAAAAUUGAUUCGAAAAAAAAGUUAAUUCAAAUGCGGAAUCUUGUGCGGUACCGUGUUUUAUUUUUAACGGUGAUCUUCUUGCCAAACCAUUCGUCCUGAUAAUCGACUUUACGUGGGUUUCGCUUUAUUUUACCAUAUUUAGUGUAAUCACGUUUCUGGCGUUUAAAUCGUUUGGCAUUUAUUUCGUCUCUGUUGUGGUACUUUUUUAUCGCAACAGGAAUGUGAAAAUGCCCUUUUCAGUGUUGACUGAAGAAAAAAAAAACCGGCCGUGACAUGAGUAAUUAAUGGCACAGCUUACGUGUAACUUCCUCUACUCCCACUCGCAGUUGACAGGGUAUCCGUGCGAUACCUCAAAACUCGUGUAGGCUACUCCAAACUACAGUGUAGGUAUUGAUGCAAUGUCUCCGUGAGCUUUUGACACGUCCUCACGAAAUUGAACAACUUUAUCUCGUUUGCUUAAUAUCAUUCUUAUCUGACCCGUUGGGCGUUUCUAUAAAGUUUCUAGCUAGACUCACGAAUGUGGCAGUCGAUCGUCUCAGUUUUCCAGUUAAGAAUGGCCGGUACGAACAAAUUGUUCAAGGUGUUUGCAAUCAUUUUAUUGCUGGGCGCCGUACUCCUAAUUGUCGACGCUUCAAAUAAGAAACAUUUGAAGAAAAAAACAGCUUCAAAGAAGACCUUCAAACAGCUUCUAUUUUCCGACGAUGACGAUCUGAUGCUCGGAGAUGAACCGGAGUCUAGCGGUGAUGGUUCUAAUGUCCCAGAUAAUGAAGGAAGUGCGAGUCCAACAAUCAAGUCCUUGCCACAAGCUAACCAGGUCGAUCCUGAUUUCUCCAUCGACGGAUUACCGGACAUCAACGAUCUUCUAACCGAAGAAGGAAAUAAUUUUAAAUGGCCAACGUUUAAACCUCCAGUGCAGCCAACGGCUAGACCCCCUGCCAUUCAACUAACUCUUGUCCACCGGUGAAACUCCCCUGUCAAUCGGGUCAACCUUGCCCACCGGCCCAACCGCCCUGUUAUGGUAAACCCUGUCCACCAGUACAACCUCCGUGCAAUACAGGUAAACCUUGUCCACCGAUCCAACCUCCUGUGCGACCUCCAUGCCAGUCAGGUAAACCUUGUCCACCGAUCCAACCUCCUUGUCAUUCAGGUAAACCUUGUCCACCGGUCCAACCACCGGCCCAACCUCCUUGCCAUUCAGGUAAACCUUGUCCACAGGUCAAGCCUCCGUGCCAGCCUAAUCGCCCAUGUCACUCUAAACUUCCGUGCCACUCAUCUAACGGUCUCUGCAACCCACUCAGCCUGCCGCCUGCAUACAGCCCAACCAGCGUGUGUGGAAAAACCUACUUUUGUCGAAAAGGUUUCAGCGGCCCUUGUAAUAGAAAUGAAGUUUUUACUUCUUCGCCGAGCCAUUUAUCACGGCCCGUCUCUUUUGCACGCUCGAAGUGCUCCAACUAUUUUUCUCCGCCGCCAGGUUGCUUUUCAUCAACGAAUAAUCCGUUCACUUUAACAGGCAAGAGCUCACCUGGGUAUUGUACGAUUCGCUAUGCCCAGCAGCCUUGCUACGGCUACCCUUCGACGUACCGCUAUUGCAAACAAACGAAACACUGCUAUCCUACCAUGUCCACGUCACUGUACAACCCAAGACCAUCACACGGGCCGUGUCUGGCUGACCAGUAUUUUACUGCCACAGAUCAAAGCUACGGUUAUUGUCGUUGCAGUCGUCCCAACUAUGUUCAUUGUCCAAAGACCAAUCGCUGUUAUCCAGCAUACACUAAGGGCUCUUGUUCCACCGGCCAGUGGCUUGUUCCACACGGAAAUCAUGGCUUAGCUACCUGUAAAGCUUGCCCUUGCCCUUCGCUGGCGGACGGUCAGCACAUUUACUGGAGCGGGACGGGCCAGCAACAUGGAAGACCGGGUUGCUACAAGUCACAAACCCGUGGUCCUUGCCGACACGGCAUGCGAUUUGUGAUCAGCGAUAUUCUCACGGGUUCUGCGCAUUGUGUCCGCAAUCACUCGGACAAGAGACGGCCGAGUUCGAGUUACAACUCGUUGUUGAGCGACUGGAACUUGUUUUACGGGAAAUUCUAAGUUUUAACCGGCCAGUGCAAUAAGUUUUAGAAAUUUGCCGAACCAAUCGUUUGUAAGAAAACGUAUGUAUGUAGUCAGGAUAAAAAUGCAAGAUUUUGAUUUUAAAACUCGCAAAAAUCCAAUUCAGUACUGCCAAGAAAUAUAAUAGCCUUUCUUUUUGCCCCUA